rnacentral:rRNA from 1 species
UAGCGGCGAGCGAACGGGGAGCAGCCCAGAGUCUUAAUCAGCAUUAGCAUCAGGAGAACGGUCUGGAAAGUCCGGCAGUAAAGGGUGAUAGCCCCGUAUCCGAAGGUGUUAGUGUUGUGAACUCGACGAGUAGGGCGGGACACGUGUUAUCCUGUCUGAAUAUGGGGGGACCAUCCUCCAAGGCUAAAUACUCCUGAUUGACCGAUAGUGAACCAGUACCGUGAGGGAAAGGCGAAAAGAACCCCGGCGAGGGGAGUGAAAUAGAACCUGAAACCGUGUACGUACAAGCAGUGGGAGCCUUGAUUUAUCAGGGUGACUGCGUACCUUUUGUAUAAUGGGUCAGCGACUUAUAUUCUGUAGCAAGGUUAACCGAAUAGGGGAGCCGUAGGGAAACCGAGUCUUAACUGGGCGAAUAAGUUGCAGGGUAUAGACCCGAAACCCGGUGAUCUAGCCAUGGGCAGGUUGAAGGUUGGGUAACACUAACUGGAGGACCGAACCGACUAAUGUUGAAAAAUUAGCGGAUGACUUGUGGCUGGGGGUGAAAGGCCAAUCAAACCGGGAGAUAGCUGGUUCUCCCCGAAAGCUAUUUAGGUAGCGCCUCGUGAACUCAUCUUCGGGGGUAGAGCACUGUUUCGACUAGGGGGUCAUCCCGACUUACCAACUCGAUGCAAA